rnacentral:sRNA from 1 species
GGAUGGAUCACCUCCUUUCUAAGGAAAAAAUAAAAUUAUCAUCUUCAGUUUUGAAAGACUUAGAAAAUUCAUAAGUUUUUCUUUUUUUAAGGCAUUAAGGGCCUAUAGCUCAGCUGGUUAGAGCACACGCCUGAUAAGCGUGAGGUCGGUGGUUCAAGUCCAUUUAGGCCCACCAGUUUAUUUUAAAAGUUAUAAGCACUGUCUUAAAAAAAAGUUCUUUGAAAAGUAGAUAAACAUAGUAAAAUCAAAAAAAUUGAAGGAAUUAAGAGCGCACAGUGGAUGCCUUGGCACCAAGAGCCGAUGAAGGACGCAAUUAACGGCGAUACACCACGGGGAGUUGUAAAUAAAUGAAGAUCCGUGGAUUUCCGAAUGGGGAAACCUACUAUAAUAACAUUAUAGUUUUUUGAUUUUCGAAUCAAAAAGGGAUACGCAGUGAACUGAAAUAUCUAAGUAACUGCAGGAAAAGAAAGUAAUAACGAUUCUGGCAGUAGUGACGAGCGAAUCCGGAGGAGCCUGAUACCACCACUAGUUACAAAAUUUUAACCAACUUGAAGUUUUUGGGAAAAAACACCAAAGAAGGUGAUAGUCCUGUAAAGGUAAGUUAAAAUCUAGGGUAUCGAAAAGUACGGCGAGACACGAGAAAUCUUGUUGGAACAUAGGGAGGACCAUCUCCUAAGGCUAAAUACUACUUGGUGACCGAUAGUGAACUAGUACCGUGAGGGAAAGGCGAA